rnacentral:rRNA from 1 species
GAUGAACGCUGGCGGCGUGCCUAAUACAUGCAAGUCGAGCGAACGGACGAGAAGCUUGCUUUUCUGAUGUUAGCGGCGGACGGGUGAGUAACACGUGGAUAACCUACCUAUAAGACUGGGAUAACUUCGGGAAACCGGAGCUAAUACCGGAUAAUAUUUUGAACCGCAUGGUUCAAAAGUGAAAGACGGUCUUGCUGUCACUUAUAGAUGGAUCCGCGCUGCAUUAGCUAGUUGGUAAUGUAACGGCUUACCAAGGCAACGAUGCAUAGCCGACCUGAGAGGGUGAUCGGCCACACUGGAACUGAGACACGGUCCAGACUCCUACGGGAGGCAGCAGUAGGGAAUCUUCCGCAAUGGGCGAAAGCCUGACGGAGCAACGCCGCGUGAGUGAUGAAGGUCUUCGGAUCGUAAAACUCUGUUAUUAGGGAAGAACAUAUGUGUAAGUAACUGUGCACAUCCUGACGGUACCUAAUCAGAAAGCCACGGCUAACUACGUG